GCCGGAGUGGCAGAACGGCAAUGCGCCAGCCUUGAGAGCUGGUUCCCGUCCAACGGGAUUGGGAGUUCGAAUCUCCCCUCCGGCG
rnacentral:tRNA from 1 species